rnacentral:rRNA from 1 species
CCUACGGGUGGCAGCAGUGGGGAAUAGUGCACAAUGGGGGAAACCCUGAUGCAGCGACGCCGCGUGAGUGAAGAAGGAUUUCGGUACGUAAAGCUCUAUCAGCAGGGAAGAAAAUGACGGUACCUGACUAAGAAGCCACGGCUAACUACGUGCCAGCAGCCGCGGUAAGACGGAGGGGGCAAGCGUUAGCCGGAGUUACUGGGUGUAAAGGGAGCGUAGACGGCAGCGCCAGGCUGGAGUGAAAUCCCAUGGCUUAACCAUGGAACUGCUUUGGAAACUGUGCAGCUGGAGGGCAGGAGAGGUCAGCGGCAUUCCUUGUGUAGCGGUGAAAUGCGUAGAUAUUAGGAGGAACCCCAGUGGCGAUGGCGGCUUACUGUACUGUACCUGACGUUGCGGCUCGACAGCGUGGGGAGCAAACAGGCUUAGAUACCCUUGUAGUC